rnacentral:rRNA from 1 species
GACGAACGCUGGCGGCGUGCUUAACACAUGCAAGUCGAACGGAAAGGCCCUGCUUUUGUGGGGUGCUCGAGUGGCGAACGGGUGAGUAACACGUGAGUAACCUGCCCUUGACUUUGGGAUAACUUCAGGAAACUGGGGCUAAUACCGGAUAGGAGCUCCUGCUGCAUGGUGGGGGUUGGAUAGUUUCGGCGGUUGGGGAUGGACGCGCGGCUUAUCAUCUUGUUGGUGGGGUAGUGGCUUACCAAGGCUUUGACGGGUAGCCGACAUGGGAGGGGGAACGGGCACAUUGCGACUGCGAUAGGGACCAGACUCCAACGGGAGGCAGCAGUCGGGAAUAUUGCACAGUGGGCGGGAGCCUGAUGAGGAGACGCCGCGUGCGGAAAGACGGCCUUCGGGUUGUGAACCGCUUUAGCCUGUGACGAAGCGUGAGUGACGGUAAUGGGUAAAGAAGCACCGGCUAACUACGUG